GCUGUGGAAGCCGUCGGCGUAGGUCAUCAUCACGAUCCCAGCAAUGGCGAGGAUGGCGGCCACGAUCUGCACAGAAGGGAGGAAACAGCGGAAAGCUUCGUGUGAUGGAACCCCUGGAACAGCUGGUGGCAAGGAGACCUGCUGUGGCCCGGGGUCACCUGGUGGCCCGUCCCCGUGGUGCUGGGAGACCGCAGAUAAGGCGGUCAUGAUGCCAACAGCAGGGGCCCUGCCCUGACAAAGUUUGGUAGACCACCCUGGGAAUGACCCCAGUUCCUGCCGAACCUUCUGAGAGCACGUGACAUCUUGCCUCUUAGACACGUCGUAUUUUAACAGAGAGGGGACCGGACGUGGGGCCCACUUAGCACGCCACACCGGCGGUUGGGUCUUCUGAAAGAACGAGUGUCGUGUGCCAAAGGGCCACGGUGUCCUACCCCUGGGAGUGCCGGGCCUUUCCUGAGCUGUGACGGAGCGCUCCCCCCGCAGCGCCCCCCAUCCUGGGACUGUCCCCACCCAGACUUCCCAUGUUGAACGAACGCCCCAGGGAGAUGUACCCGUUUCUGCUGCUGCGCAAAGUGAGGUUGUCGAUUACACAGGAGACUGACUACUUGGGACAAAUUUUGAAAAGGAGAAAUGUAUCUGCACAGAGAGUAAGUACAGGUUCUAACUUGGGGUGGUCACGGAGCUACAUAAACGUCGCUGGUGCGGAAUGGGGCUGGGAGUGCUGUGGGCAGAACAGAGAUGUUGCCUCGACUGGAUUCACCGGCAGCGCUAUCCCUCUUAAUGGCUCACUCAGAACUGACCCCGGCUACCGGUAACAACCUCAAGUAGCCCCCGUUUACGAAGUGGUCACGGGAGAAGGGUUUUCUAUGUGAUCGUAUCAUCCAUUUCAUUUUGUAAACAUGAAAGCUUUGGCUCAGAGAGGUCACGGCAACAUGCCCAAAGUCACAGAGCUGGUGUGUGGCUGAGCGGGGAUGUAAAAUUUCAGGGCUGAUUGCAAAAUCCGUGUUGACCUACAGAAACAGGAAAAGCAGGAUUCAAAGAAUAGUUGGCUACAGCCAACUCUGAGGUUUGAACUGAGGUUUCCUUUCUGGCUUCAGCGUGAUGUUCUCAGUUAGCGAAAGGAAACCUGGCAGAGUCUCACACACUGUGAGUUCUAGAAUAUUCCUUGUGCAGUAUCUUCCGGUGAUGCGAACUCUGCCCAUGCAACAGCAACACCGAGGCUCUGGAGAGGCUGCCAGGGAACUGACUGCCUACGUGUCCUUCUUGAUUCGUAGCUCACUGUCAGCCCUCAUUCUGCAUCACACGCUGACUCUGUUUCUUAUGCAAAUGCUACCCGCACGGAGUACAACCGCUCACCCAGAGAAGGAAACAGAGAUCAGGAAGACAAGCGACUUUUUCCGCCCUCCAGGAGAAGAAAGGGGCACAUGACAAGGCAGGUGGGGAAAGAGGUAGGCUUCUGGCCCAGGGGACACAGAUAAUGCAAAGAUGCUGCUUGGAACAGGUUGACCUCGCUAGGCACCCAAGGUCCACAGGGAGAGAAAUAACUAGAAAAAAGAGGAAGGGAAGAAGAGAGCUGAAUUUAGAUGAUUUGGUGCAUUUCCAGAGGUGCCUGAGUUUUUCCAAACUUGGGGCUUUAGUUUCAAGGAUGUGAAGGAACCCAGGGGUUGAUUUUCUCCUGAGGACUUACAAGGCUGACUCCAGCCUCUUCCUUUGUCGUCUCUACUGAUUCAGUAAUAAAGGGCUGCGAGCCCCCUCCUCCCCCAGCCCCUACCCAGGGCUGUGCUGUGCCGCAGAGCUGAGCAUAGGGGCUGGCAGGGGACAGGUAGAGCCCUCCAGGCCAUACUUGAGGAGUCCAGGCCCCCAGAGGUCAUUGUGACAGGUGGCAUCAGGGGACGGUGGUCCCCCAGCUCCCACCUCUAGCUCUCUUAGAAGUCCCUGUCCCGGGUCACAGGACCGGCCUGCUCUAUAUUGUGGGCCACCCUGGCCCACCCAGUGUGCUGGAGCCAAGCUCACUCUUCAUGCCCCAGACAGCAGAGCAGAGCCGAAACACCCUAUGGGUUUGGGGGGCAGAGCCUAGAUAGACGUUCUUCAAGCGUGACAUUCCCUUCAAGAUCCCAGUUCUGUCCUUAGAAACGACUUAAAUGUACACUUUACAUUUAUACCAUAACAUACCCAGGCUUCUUGGUUUGCACUCGGGACUGCUGACUGCCUACUUGCUGCACUAUGAUGUACUUUCCAGGAAGGCCAGGGGGGGCUGUCCUGUGGUCUCACAUGCCCCCCAUCUUCUAGAUCAGGGUGUCCCUGGGGGAGAAUGUUGAGUUGGAGGAGAAAAUAAAGGAAAGUAGACAACUGAA